rnacentral:tRNA from 1 species
GGCCGAUUAGCUCAGCUGGUUAGAGCGUGGUGCUAAUAACGCCAAGGUCGUCGGUUCGAUCCCGGCAUUGGCCA